UACGAAGGGGGCUAGCGUUGCUCGGAAUCACUGGGCGUAAAGCGCACGUAGGCGGGUCCUUAAGUCAGGGGUGAAAUCCUGGAGCUCAACUCCAGAACUGCCCUUGAUACUGAGGAUCUCGAGUUCGGGAGAGGUGAGUGGAACUGCGAGUGUAGAGGUGAAAUUCGUAGAUAUUCGCAAGAACACCAGUGGCGAAGGCGGCUCACUGGCCCGAUACUGACGCUGAGACACGAAAGCGUGGGUAGCAAACAGG
rnacentral:rRNA from 1 species